rnacentral:rRNA from 1 species
CACGUAGGGCGCAAGCGUUGUCCGGAAUUAUUGGGCGUAAAGAGCGUGUAGGCGGCCAGAUAAGUCCGCUGUGAAAUCUCGAGGCUCAACUUCGAGCUGUCGGUGGAAACUGUCUGGCUAGAGUCCGGAAGAGGCGAGUGGAAUUCCCGGUGUAGAGGUGAAAUUCGUAGAUAUCGGGAGGAACACCGGUGGCGAAGGCGGCGACCUGGGUCGAGACUGACGCUGAGGCGCGAAAGCGUGGGGAGCAA